rnacentral:rRNA from 1 species
GAGUUUGAUCUUGGCUCAGAUUGAACGCUGGCGGAAUGCUUUACACAUGCAAGUCGAGCGGCAGCGCGGGGCAACCUGGCGGCGAGCGGCGAACGGGUGAGUAAUGCAUCGGAACAUGUCCUGUCGUGGGGGAUAGCCCGGCGAAAGCCGGAUUAAUACCGCAUACAUCCGAGAGGAGAAAGUGGGGGACCGCAAGGCCUCACGCGAUUGGGUUGGCCGAUGUCCGAUUAGCUAGUUGGUGAGGUAAUGGCUCACCAAGGCGACGAUCAGUAGCUGGUCUGAGAGGAUGAUCAGCCACAUUGGGACUGAGACACGGCCCAAACUCCUACGGGAGGCAGCAGUGGGGAAUAUUGGACAAUGGGCGCAAGCCUGAUCCAGCCAUGCCGCGUGAGUGAUGAAGGCCUUAGGGUUGUAAAGCUCUUUCGUCCGGGACGAUAAUGACGGUACCGGAAGAAGAAGCCCCGGCUAACUUCGUGCCAGCAGCCGCCGCAGUAAC